UACGGAGGGAGCUAGCGUUGUUCGGAAUUACUGGGCGUAAAGCGCGCGUAGGCGGCUUUUGUAAGUUAGAGGUGAAAGCCCGGAGCUCAACUCCGGAACUGCCUUUAAAAACUGCAUCGCUUGAAUCCAGGAGAGGUGAGUGGAAUUCCGAGUGUAGAGGUGAAAUUCGUAGAUAUUCGGAAGAACACCAGUGGCGAAGGCGGCUCACUGGACUGGUAUUGACGCUGAGGUGCGAAAGCGUGGGGAGCAAACAGG
rnacentral:rRNA from 1 species